ACUCAGUGGUCACUCAGUGGUCACUCAGCGGUCAGUGGCCACUCAUUGGUCACUCUGUGGUCACUCAGUGGUCACUCAAUGGGCAGUAUAAGGGCAGUAUAAGGGCAGUGGUCACUCAUUGGUCACUCAUUGGUCACUCAGGGGUCACUCAGGGCUCACUCAGUGGUCACUCAUUGGUCACUCAGUGGUCAAUGGUCACUCAUUGGUCACUCAGUGGUCACUCAUUGGUCAAUGGUCACGCAUUGGUCACUCAUUGGUCACUCAAUGGUCACUCAUUGGUCACUCAGGGGUCACUCAUUGGUCACUUAGUGGUCACUCAAUGGGCAGUAUAAGGGCAGUGGUCACUCAGUGGUCACUCAAUGGGCAGUAUAAGGGCAAUAUAAGGGCAGUGGUCACUCAUUGGUCAGUAAUGGUCACUCAGUGGUCACCCAGUGGUCACUCAGUGGUCACUCAGUGGUCACUCAUUGUUCAGUGGUCACUCAGUGGUCACUCAGUGGUCACUCAAUGGGCAGUAUAAGGGCAAUAUAAGGGCAGUGGUCACUCAUUGGUCACUCAGUGGUCACUCAGGGGUCACUCAGUGGUCACUCAUUGGUCAGUGGUCACUCAAUGGUCACUCAGUGGUCACUCACUUCCGGCCGAGCUCUCUCAGGUCGUGCCCCCAUGACCGGUCAGUGGUCAGUGUGGUCAGUAAUGGUCACUCAAUGGUCACUCAGUGGUCACUCAGUGGUCACUCAGCGGUCAGUGGUCACUCAGGGAUGUUCUGUAUUGGUCAUUGGUCACUCAGUG
rnacentral:lncRNA from 1 species